rnacentral:rRNA from 1 species
UACAGAGGCCUCAAGCGUUGUUCGGAUUCAUUGGGCGUAAAGGGUGCGCAGGCGGUCGGGUAAGUCGGAUGUGAAAUCCCGGGGCUCAACCUCGGAACUGCAUUCGAUACUGCCUGGCUGGAGGAUUGGAGAGGAGAGUGGAAUUCACGGUGUAGCAGUGAAAUGCGUAGAGAUCGUGAGGAAGACCAACGGCGAAGGCAGCUCUCUGGACAAUUCCUGACGCUGAGGCACGAAGGCCAGGGGAGCAAACGGG